GGGUCGGUGCCCGAGUGGCUAAUGGGGGCGGACUGUAAAUCCGCUGACGCGAGUCUACGGUGGUUCGAACCCACCCCGGCCCA
rnacentral:tRNA from 1 species